GCGGCGGCGUGGCCGCGAGAGGACUCCUGGUGCCGCCGUGCGCGCGUCUGCAGGGCCCACCCAGGACUUCCGGCCAGCAGGGCCAGGGUCGCUGCGGGUGAGGGCGCCGGGCCUGGGAAAUCCCUUCCAGGGAUGGAGUAGGGCGAGUGACACCAUCUCGGUGUGGGGCAGGGGUCCCUGUACGUUCUUCCACCUCAACCACAUGCUAUUCUUUGUGAUGAAAUACUGUUGAUCUGCAAGUUGUUCUUCUAAGACUUGAAAUACAUAUAAGUGGAUUGUAAUGGUAGAGAUUGAACGCGGUAGGCCCAAGGUUCGAUCCUCAGCACCGCAUACAGACAAAGAUGUUGUGUCCGCUGAAAACUAAAAAAUAAAUAUUAAAAUUCUCUCUCUCAAAAAAAAAAAAAA